UACGAAGGGGGCUAGCGUUGCUCGGAAUUACUGGGCGUAAAGGGCGCGUAGGCGGCCUUGUAAGUCAGGCGUGAAAUUCCUGGGCUCAACCUGGGGGCUGCGCUUGAGACUGUGAGGCUUGAGGACGGAAGAGGCUCGUGGAAUUCCCAGUGUAGAGGUGAAAUUCGUAGAUAUUGGGAAGAACACCGGUGGCGAAGGCGGCGAGCUGGUCCGUAUCUGACGCUGAGGCGCGACAGCGUGGGGAGCAAAC
rnacentral:rRNA from 1 species